rnacentral:rRNA from 1 species
UACGGGGGGGGCAAGCGUUGUUCGGAAUUACUGGGCGUAAAGGGCUCGUAGGUGGCCAACUAAGUCAGACGUGAAAUCCCUCGGCUUAACCGGGGAACUGCGUCUGAUACUGGAUGGCUUGAGUUUGGGAGAGGGAUGCGGAAUUCCGGGUGGAGUGGUGAAAUGCGUAGAGAUCCGGAGGAACACCGAAGGCGAAGGCAGUGUCCUGGCGAGUGACUGACGCUGAGGUGCGAAAGCCAGGGGAGCGAACGGG